CCAUAAAUUACACAUGCAAUCGCCAUAAACUUAUCAGAGAAGGAUUAUUGCAAGGCAAAUGCUAUUAGGGACCAUCAAACUAACAAACUCCACUACCAAUUUGAAAAUUAAGAUUUUGCUGAUGUUAAACCCUAAUAGCAUUGUUAUACCCAGAAGCUCCGAGACUGAAAACCGAUAGAAAGAAUAGGCUGAAGUUAAAGAUUGAAGCCUACCUGAAACUUGAAUUCAUUAAGUGUUAGUGAUCAAUCAAUGUCUUCCAUGGUAGAACCUUCUAUGUUCAUUGGUUGUUCUUAAUCUGAUCACAAACAUAACACAUACACAAGGCACUGACUGAUCAAAAGGGCUCAAGGAGCAUCAUUGAUUUACAUAGGAUAAAUAGAAAUUUUACCUUCAUUUUUGGCUUCUCCUUUGUAACAACAUCAUUGACCUCAAGCAACAUGAAAAGUCCCUCCAACUGUGAUGCCUCAAUAGCAGUAGUUUCUGCUAUUCACAACAUAAAAGGUGUAAAAUAUGCGAACUAGGGUUAUUAAGUAAAAAUGAACAAAACAAAGCACACCAAUAUCUUUCUUAAUAUCAUAAUGCAGCCAGGUUCUUGUGCAUAUCAAUGCUUCAACUAUUUUAUUAUGCAGUCGGCUAUGAUGAGGAUCAAGUAAUCAACCCCCUAAAUUGAAGGUCGAUUCUGAAGCAACAUAUGUGAUUGGCACAACAAAGAAAUCCCUAGCAAUAUCCCUUAACGUAGGGUAAUAAGGGGACUGUACUUUCCACCAUUGUAAGAUGUCAAACUUUGGUGAGUUAGGCUCAAGAUCAUCUCCCAAAUAGUGAUCUAAUUCUGACUGGACCAUAGAAACUUUCAAUUUCUUCUUUUGGCUAACAUAACACUCAAAAUCAGCUCUAGAACUUGAAAAAGAUGAGCUACUGAAACACUAACUAGAUGCUGAGGUUGUAAUAGAGGAUUUUCCAACAACAACCCUAUUCAUGUUUUGGUAUCCCCGAACCAAUUCAAACACCAAAUUCCUCACACUAUUCGAAUGGAGGCUAGGUUCAAAACUACCGAACUUUGCAGCAUAAAAAUCAAUGAUUUCUAACUUCAUCCUUGGAUCAAGUACCGCUGUCACACUCAGUAAAUCAUGCAAAUCAUUCCAAUACUUUUGGAAUUUCAAAUCCAUCUUGAUAGCCAUGUUACUAAUACCUGGAUUUGGGUAAGCCUUCCACUCAAACAAUGUCAAUUUCAAAUCACAAACAUCGAAAAAAAGGUUUGAAAUAGGGUAAUUAUUUCCAAAACAAAGCUCAGUUGUGGGUUUAAAAACUGCCAACUUCGCAUAUACUAUAGCAGCAAAUUCCCAAUCAGAAUCAGUCGGACAAGUAGUAUAGGAAGGUUCCCUCUAAGCCACCCUUUUGAACACAUUUCUAUUAGGUAUAAUAAUUUCAAGCAUGGUAUGUGUGUUGUUCUACCUAGUUGGACAGUCUAAAACUAAUUGUUUCUCAUCAGAAAUUUGCAAUUGCUUAGCAGUUUUGAUGAACAUUUCAAGCCUUCUAGGUGUAGUAAGCCAGAAUGCAACACUUUCGUGUAUCUUAACUGUUCCAUCCUUGAUAACAAGAAGGUCAUCCCUUACUAUGAGAUUGAGUAUGUGAGCGGUGCAUCUCAUAUGUAACAUAUCACCUUCCCUAAUAAAAAAUGCUGAUAGAAGUUUAGGUUUCACCUUAUCCAUCAUCGAAUCAUUUGUCGAGUAGUUGUCCAACGUAAUGGUACUGAUCUUCAAAUCAAUUCUAAUCCAUGAGGCACUUUAGUAGUAUACUAGCCAACCGAUCGGCAGUAUGAGGUGCAGGGACAUAACAAAACCUACAAUUUUAAUAAAAAGUUACUUUGUUAGUACAAUUUCAAUUGAUUAAUCGUACACAAAAUGAAAGCAAUAAAAAUUUAAGCUAAACAAGGACAUAAUACCUUAGUAGAUGACUACGAAGAGUCCAAAUAUUGUCGAAGUAAUGACCAGUAACGGCCAUAUAUCCCUAUUUUAUUCGAUGCAGUGCAAAGGUAUGUAGUAAUUGCAAUCUUUCCCAAAUUAUGAUCUAUAUUCCUCUGGAUUUUUCUCCUUUCAAUCUGGUACAGUUUUAGAAUCUCCUUCUUCAUUGUAUUUGGACAAGGUAAUUAAAAUUGAGGCUGCAGGGUGGCUAUGAAUCUCUUUAAGUAUAGGUGAUCCACUAUACUAAGUGGAUACUCGUGUAUGACGAUUGCAAUGCUCAAAAGCUGCCUCGAUAGUUCACUGUUAAAGCUCAUUGCAGAUACCUCCUUCUUUCCCCUAGUUAGGUAAUUAGGACCAAGCACCUUUUGUUUCCCAUCCUUGAUCUUCUUUUGCAAACAAGAGGUUAUAUGACUCCUUAAAUCUGAUGUACUAUUGGUGGAGUGACCAAUAAGGUAUUUCUUACACCAGUUAUAUUGUUCUUUGACCUUUCUUUUGUACCACACUUUAAUAAAAUCAACCCAUAUAUUGCUAGUCAAUCUUCCACCAACAAUUUGACCAUCGGCUGCAGGAACAGCAACAUCACCUUGAUCUUCUUGAGCAGCAAGUGCAUCAUUGACAAUGUUAUGAUUUUAAGCAUUAUCAUCAUUGCCAUCUUGGCCGUCCAUUCCUAUUCCAUUAUUGACAUAAUUUAAAAUUAUAAUCCAGUAAUCCACUAACAUAAACCUAAGAACUUAAAGUCAUAAUCAAAACCCUACAAAAUGAAACCUACUAUAAAUAUCAUAAAGUAAUUACCUUGUUAGGUUUGAAUAAGAACAGGAAUUGGCAGAAUUCAAUUAUGUAUACCUGCAAAGUUCAAUCCAAUUAGAUUAGGGGUAGGGAAAUACACAAAUUAGGGAAGUUUGGCAUUGAAAUUGACACUUGAAUCUUCAAACCUACUUACCCAAACAGAGAUGGAAAGAUGAAGAUUGAAGAGAUGGAAUCGAGUAAUCAACAUGCACAACCUUCUCUUCUCUUAUAUGCAUCCGCAUCACCCAACUCAUAUAUCAAGAAUCCAAUCUUGGAAGUAGGGAGACCAUGUUUGGUUGGGAGACAGACGAAAAGAAUGUGUCAAAGAGUGGAAUCGUCGGCCGCUGUAGAGGGAUAAUCGAGAACAGAAGCAAGGAAGUUGGAGAGCCAAAUUUCUGAAAUUAGGGUUAAUUACUCAAUUUGAUAUGGGGUAUUAU
rnacentral:lncRNA from 1 species